UAAUACAGAGGUCUCGAGCGUUAGUCGGAGUCACUGGGCUUAAAGCGUACGUAGGCGGGCGCGCAGGCGUCGUGUGAAAGCCCUCAGCUCAACUGAGGAACUGCACGGCGAACCGCGCGUCUUGAGACAAGUAGGGGCGGUCGGAACGAUAGGUGGAGUGGUGAAAUGCGUUGAUAUCUAUCGGAAUGCCGAAGGAGAAAUCAGGCCGCUGGGCUUGUUCUGACGCUGAGGUACGAAAGCGUGGGGAGCGAACGGGAUUAGAUACCCCGGUAGUCCACGCCGUAAACGAUGUGCACUAGAUCGAGGAGGUUUUGACACCAUUCUCGGUCGAAGUAAAAACGUUGAGUGCACCGCCUGGGGAGUACGGUCGCAAGGCUA
rnacentral:rRNA from 1 species